rnacentral:rRNA from 1 species
AUUGACCUCGGAUCAGGUAGGGAUACCCGCUGAACUUAAGCAUAUCAAUAAGCGGAGGAAAAGAAACCAACAGGGAUUGCCUCAGUAACGGCGAGUGAAGCGGCAACAGCUCAAAUUUGAAAUCUGGCCCCGUCGGGGUCCGAGUUGUAAUUUGUAGAGAGUGUUUCGGGUGAGAAAAAGGUCUAAGUCUAUUGGAACAUGGCGUCAUAGAGGGUGAGAAUCCCGUAUGUGACCGUGGCUCGAGCCCAUGUGAAGCCUCUUCGACGAGUCGAGUUGUUUGGGAAUGCAGCUCAAAAUGGGUGGUAAAUUUCAUCUAAAGCUAAAUACUGGCUGGAGACCGAUAGCGCACAAGUAGAGUGAUCGAAAGAUGAAAAGCACUUUGGAAAGAGAGUCAAAAAGUACGUGAAAUUGUUGAAAGGGAAGCGCUUGCAACCAGACCUGUCCGUAGGUGAUCAACCGCUGUUCUCAGUGGUGCACUCGCUCUGCGAUCAGGCCAGCAUCGGUUCCGGCGGUCGGAUAAAGGCCUUGGGAAUGUAGCUGCCUUCGGGGAGUCUUAUAGCCCUCGGUGCAAUGCGGCCAGCCGGGACCGAGGACCGCGCUUCGGCUAGGAUGCUGGCGUAAUGGCUGUAAGCGACCCGUCUUGAAACACGGACCAAGGAGUCUAACAUCUAUGCGAGUGUUUGGGUGUUAAACCCAUGCGCGGAAUGAAAGUGAACGGAGGUGAGAACCCUUUAGGGCGCAUCAUCGACCGAUCCAGAUGUCUUCGGAUGGAUUUGAGUAUGAGCAUAGCUGUUGGGACCCGAAAGAUGGUGAACUAUGCCUGAAUAGGGUGAAGCCAGAGGAAACUCUGGUGGAGGCUCGCAGCGGUUCUGACGUGCAAAUCGAUCGUCAAAUUUGGGUAUAGG